rnacentral:rRNA from 1 species
AAACUAACAAGGAUUCCCCUAGUAACGGCGAGUGAAGCGGGAAGAGCUCAAAUUUAAAAUCUGGCAGGCUACGCUUGUCCGAAUUGUAAUCUCGAGAAGUGUUUUCCGCGUUGGCCUGUGUACAAGUCCCUUGGAACAGGGCGUCAUAGAGGGUGAGAAUCCCGUCCUUGACACAGACACCCAAUGCUUUGUGAUACACUCUCAAUGAGUCGAGUUGUUUGGGAAUGCAGCUCAAAAUGGGUGGUAAAUUCCAUCUAAAGCUAAAUACUGGCGAGAGACCGAUAGCGAACAAGUACCGUGAGGGAAAGAUGAAAAGCACUUUGGAAAGAGAGUCAAACAGUACGUGAAAUUGUUGAAAGGGAAACGAUUGAAGUCAGUCGUGCCUGCCUAGUCUCAGCCUUUUGGUGUACUACUAGGUCGGCAGGUCAGCAUCAGUUUGGGAGGAUUAACAAGGGAGUUAGGAAUGUGGCAACCUCGGUUGUGUUAUAGCCUAGUUCGCAUUGAUCUUGCUGGACUGAGGAACGCAGUGCGCCCGCAAGGGUUGGUCUUCGGACACAUUCGCACUUAGGAUGCUGGCAUAAUGGCUUUAAA